GGCGACCGGCAAACGGGUGAGGAACACGUACACAACCUUCCUUCAAGGCGGGAAUAGCCCAGAAGUAAAUUUGGAUUUAAACUACCCCAUAAUAUAUUUGAUAAGGCAUCUUAUUAAUAUUAAAGCUUCGGCACUUGAUGAUGGGUGUGCGGCUGAUUAGAUAGUUGGCGGGUAACGGCCCACCAAGUCUACGAUCAGUAGCUGGUGUGAGAGCAUGAUCAGCCACACGGGCACUGAGACACGGGCCCGACUCCUACGGGAGGCAGCAGUAAGGAAUAUUGGACAAUGGACGAAAGUCUGAUCCAGCCAUGCCGCGUGAAGGAUUAAGGUCCUCUGGAUUGUAAACUUCUUUUAUAUGGGACGAAAAAGGGCAUUCUUGUUCACUUGACGGUACCAUAUGAAUAAGCACCGGCUAACUCCGUG
rnacentral:rRNA from 1 species